CCUACGGGAGGCAGCAGUGGGGAAUUUUGGACAAUGGGCGAAAGCCUGAUCCAGCAAUGCCGCGUGAGUGAAGAAGGCCUUCGGGUUGUAAAGCUCUUUUGUCAGGGAAGAAACGGUGCGGGCUAAUAUCCUGCACUAAUGACGGUACCUGAAGAAUAAGCACCGGCUAACUACGUGCCAGCAGCCGCGGUAAUACGUAGGGUGCAAGCGUUAAUCGGAAUUACUGGGCGUAAAGCGUGCGCAGGCGGUUUUGUAAGUCUGUCGUGAAAUCCCCGGGCUCAACCUGGGAAUUGCGAUGGAGACUGCAAGGCUAGAAUCUGGCAGAGGGGGGUAGAAUUCCACGUGUAGCAGUGAAAUGCGUAGAGAUGUGGAGGAACACCGAUGGCGAAGGCAGCCCCCUGGGUCAAGAUUGACGCUCAUGCACGAAAGCGUGGGGAGCAAACAGGAUUAGAUACCCUGGUAGUCCACGCCCUAAACGAUGUCUACUAGUUGUCGGGUUUUAAUUAACUUGGUAACGCAGCUAACGCGUGAAGUAGACCGCCUGGGGAGUACGGUCGCAAGAUUAAAACNCAAAUGAAUUGACGG
rnacentral:rRNA from 1 species